CCUACGGGAGGCAGCAGUGGGGAAUAUUGCGCAAUGGGCGAAAGCCUGACGCAGCGACGCCGCGUGAGGGAUGAAGGUCUUCGGAUCGUAAACCUCUGUCAGCAGGGAAGAACGGUCACUGUGCUAAUCAGCAGUGAAUUGACGGUACCUGCAAAGGAAGCACCGGCUAACUCCGUGCCAGCAGCCGCGGUAAUACGGAGGGUGCGAGCGUUAAUCGGAAUUACUGGGCGUAAAGCGCUCGUAGGCGGUAUGUCAAGUCAAGGGUGAAAUCCCCGCGCUCAACGUGGGAACUGCCUUUGAACCUGGCAACCUGGGGGGUGGGAGGGGAUAGUGGAAUUCCGGGGGUGG
rnacentral:rRNA from 1 species